rnacentral:rRNA from 1 species
AACGAACGCUGGCGGCAGGCUUAACACAUGCAAAUCGAACGCAUCCUUCGGGGUGAGUGGCAGACGGGUGAGUAACGCGUGGGAACGUGCCCUUCAGUUCGGGAUAACCCAGGGAAACUUGGGCUAAUACCGGAUACGUGCGAGAGCAGAAAGAUUUAUCGCUGAAGGAUCGGCCCGCGUCUGAUUAGCUAGUUGGUGGGGUAAUGGCCCACCAAGGCGACGAUCAGUAGCUGGUCUGAGAGGAUGAUCAGCCACAAUGGGACUGAGACACGGCCCGAACUCCUACGGGGGGCAGCUGUGGGGAAUAUUGGACAGUGGGCGCUAGGCUGUGCCAGCCAUGCCGCGUGAGUGAUGAAGGCCUUAGGGUUGUAAAGAUCUUUCGUCCGGGACGAUAAUGACGGUACCGGAAGAAGAAGCCCCGGCUAACUUCGUGCCAGCCGCCGCGGUAA